rnacentral:rRNA from 1 species
CCUACGGGUGGCAGCAGUGGGGAAUAUUGGGCAAUGGGCGCAAGCCUGACCCAGCAACGCCGCGUGAAGGAAGAAGGCCCUCGGGUUGUAAACUUCUUUUAUCCGGGACGAAACAAAUGACGGUACCGGAUGAAUAAGCCACGGCUAACUACGUGCCAGCAGCCGCGGUAAUCCGUAGGAGGCAAGCGUUAUCCGGAUUUACGGGGUGUAAAGGGCGUGUAGGCGGGACUGCAAGUCAGACGUGAAAACCCUGGGCUCAACCCUGGGCCUGCAUUUGAAACUGUUGUUCUUGAGUGAUGGAGAGGCAGGCGGAAUUCCGUGGGUAGCGGUGAAAUGCGUAGAUAUACGGAGGAACACCAGUGGCGAAGGCGGCCUGCUGGACAUUAACUGACGCUGAGGCGCGAAAGCGUGGGGAGCAAACAGGAUUAGAUACCCCGGUAGUC